CGAGGGGUCCAAGCGUUGUUCGGAAUCAUUGGGCGUAAAGCGGGUGUAGGUGGCUCUGUAAGUCAGGAGUGAAAGCCCUGAGCUUAACUCGGGAAGUGCUUUUGAUACUGCAGAGCUUGAAUGUGGGAGAGGAUCGUGGAAUUCCAGGUGUAGUGGUGAAAUACGUAGAUAUCUGGAGGAACACCGGUGGCGAAGGCGGCGAUCUGGCCCAACAUUGACACUGAGACCCGAAAGUGCGGGGAUCAAACAGGAUUAGAUACCCUGGUAGUCCGCACCGUAAACGAUGGACACUUGGUGUUGGAGGUAUUGACCCCUUCAGUGCCGAAGCUAACGCGUUAAGUGUCCCGCCUGGGGAGUACGGCCGCAAGGUUA
rnacentral:rRNA from 1 species